ACUGUCAGUGAAACUUGUUUCCCAGUUGUAGUAAAAUAAAAGCUAAAGAAUUUGUUUCCUUUGUAAGUUUUGAGCAGGGGCAUGUUUAACUCAGCAUUUAAAAUCAAUAUUUUAGAAAUGGAAAUCCAGUUAUGAUAUAUAUGUUGGGAGGUCAGGGGCUGCAUUUGCCCCCAAUUCCACACAUAAACUUUGGAGGGCAUGGUUAGAAUUGUGAGUAAUUUAGGAUCAACAGUACAAUCCUGUAUAAUUUAGUGACUCAGCACAGUAAUAAACCCUGGAACCUUCUGCUUCUGUGUUCCUUCUCUGAAGGAAUUAAGGGCAGAAAGGAAGAAAGCAAACAUGAAUUAAUUUGAUUUUAUGUGCUUAAGCAGACAUAAUGAGAAUCUGUUGGUGUGGCAGAAGUUACCACCAAUCUACAUAAAAAUGAAUAAUACUGACAUUAAAAGAAAGAGCAUUAAUUAUGUUGCUGUGAUUGCAGACUUAAAUCAUUUCAGGGGCUCAUGCUUACACAUAAGGGCCUCAAGUCCCUGAAUGUUGGACAUUAUGUAGAAGCUGAUGUGGCAGAGGCCUGAAACAUUGCCCCGCUUAGCCCAUGUGAAAUUCCCUGGUGUUCGCUUCCUUCACUUCCCUUUGCACUAAAUAAUGCCAUCUUUUCUCAGAAAGUCUAAAAACGCUUUUGUGUUUUCAAAGAGUAGAAACGAAAUGGGUUUUCCCACCCCUUUUGUUAACCAGGUACUUUUAAUAGCAAGGCUAUUCUUGGCUUCAGUCCUUGGCCAAUUUUGUCAUAAUUUUUUGAGCAUGUUGGCGCUCUCAUGCUCAAAGAUCAGUUACCAAGAAUUUCAGAUUUCCUGUUAUGAGAGGUCAAGCAAAUGAUACAAGUUACAUAAGUGUUUCUUGGACCAUAAAGGAGCUGUUCUCUCAGGCUAAAUGUACCCUUUCCAGCUAGCUCAUAAGAAUCUCUGUCAACUCUGGAUUUUUACAUUUUUUAGGACUGUGCAGUCUAAAUGUGAAAAGUAGCACAGCCAUUGGAAAAACAGCUAGAAUUGAUGAGCUCUGUUAGAAAUAUAUUGCUAAUAUUGCUACUUGAUAUUGCUGUCAAUGUCAAGUGAUAUUUAUCACUGAGAAUGAUAAAAGUUUGUUUCAAAAUAAUUUAGAAAUUUAAUUUUGAAAAUUUGGGUGUAGGUUCAGAAGGUAUCACACAUUUCAUGGUGUGUUGUCAUUCUUGGUUUGCGAAGAGGCCCUCAGUGAUUUCUUUUAUCUUUUUACUUCCUUAUUUUUUCUUUUGGCCGUGCCUGUCGCAUGUAGAAGUUCUCUGGGCAGAAAUCAAACCCAUGCCACAGCAGUGACCUGGGCCCCUGCAGUGACAACUCCAGAUACUUAACCCACUGCACCGCAAGAGAACUCCGUUCCUUAUUUUUCUCUUUCACUCUAAUUCCAUUUUUUCUUUCCCAAAGAUACUCACUGGUAAUGUUUUUAUUUUACCUGAAAGGUUUUGUGUUAUAAGAUCCAAUGUAUUAUUGUUUGUUUUUAUAAUGAUUUUUAUUAUUUCCAUUAUAGCUGGUUUACAGUGACCUCGUCACAGAUACAUAUAUACAUUCUUUUUUCUCACAUUAUCAUGCUCCAUCAUAAGUGACUAGACAUAUAGUUCCUAGUGCUACACAGCAAGAUGUCAUUGCUUAUCCAUUGGUUAACCAAUACCACCUAUGAAAAUCUAUCUCCAUUGUUUCACAUACAUCUUGUUUGUUCAUUGCUUUUGAUUGCUGUGCAGUAUUCCCUGCAAGUACCCAUCCCAUUCUACUUUCCAUUCCCAAAGAGAAGGACACCUUGUUUUCUGUAACCUGGGCUUUCAUAUACAGGACUGCCAUGGACAUCUUUAUACAUAUUGCCUUAUGAAUCUUUUCAUAUAAAGAUUAUAUACAUAGAUGUAGGUGUGUGUCCAUAUAUGUUUGUGCAUUUGUGUAUCCAUCCAUCCAUCCAUCCAUCCAAAAAUGUAUUUCUUAAAUUAUACAAAUUUGGUGAAUCUGGUUAUUAAUGAAUAUCACUAAGAAUUUCUCUUAUCACUUGCUAGAAUGACUGUAUCAUCCUAUACCACCACUGUCUGUACAUGGGAUUCAUAUGAGUUUACCAAUAACUUGCAUUGACUGAUAUUCUUUUUUUUUUAAUUAAAGUAUAGUUGAUUUACAAUGUCCUGCCAAUUUCUGCUGUACAGCAUAGUGACCCAGUCUUAUAUUAUUCCCAGUCUUAUAUUAUCCUCCAUCAUGGUCUAUGCCAAGAGACUGGAUAUAGUUCCAUGUGCUACACAGUAGGACUACAAGUCUAUUCUCUAUGUCUUUGAGUCUGUUUCUAUCAUGUUGCCUGAUAUUCUAAUUCUUUCCAACCUAGUGGGUAUAUAAUGGUAACUCUUUUAAUUUUGCCUUUCUUUUGUUGCUGGUAAGGUUGAAUUUUUUUAUGUCUUUAACCUUUUGAUUUUCCAUUGUUGGAAAUUGCCUAUUCAAAUCUAUUUUUGUUAUAAAAAUUGUAUUUCCCUUCUUUUUCUUGCAGUAGUUAACUGUGUUUUCUUUACUCUGUUGAAGAAAUUGAGCAUAUAGUCAUUCCUGCAGUGCUUGGAGCAGACUUUGUGACUGUGAGGUACUCCCUGAGAUUAAGCCUCGCAUUUCUUUUUGCCUCUAACAAGGUAAAGCCUUGCUACUUCUAUGCAGCUGUUCCCCACCUGCUUUCCCUACAAAGGCUCCUGACUCCCGGCAAUGCAGCCAAGAAAACAGGAGCAAACCCUGUCAGCUCACUGCUUUGCCUAAAAGUUCCAGUGGCUCCCCUUGGCUUUCAGGAGCAAAAAUCUGAAUCUUUGCUGGGUUGCAAAUUCCUCCCAUGAUUUAAUGCUUGCAUCUGGUCAUCCCGUGUGAUCUGUGUUCUAGCCACAGAAGGCUGCUUCCUCAUUUUUACAGGGCCUUCUUUGGCCCAGCACAUGCUGUGUCUUCUGCUCUUACUGCUGGCCUCCUCCGCCUGAAUAAUUUCUCCUCUCCUAGCUUCUCAGGGCAUCUCCAGGAAAGCCCUCCCUGAUCCUCACACUUAGGUUGGAUCUCUCAGUCUCCCAUGGGAACCUCUACUUGCUUUCAGACUCCUUCUAUCCCUGCAAAAUUUAAUACAUUUUUGGGGUUUGAAGCCAAAAGGGUGAGGCACUUGGGAACUCCAUGAGGUCUUUGUUUCUCUCUGCUGUUUCUCAAGCAUGUAGCUUAGCACUUGAAACACAAAAGCACAGUUAACGUUUGUUGACAGAGGAAUAAAAAUGUAUACACAUUAAAUGCUCAUUCCAUGACUUUGGCUUUGUGUCUCAUUUUCACUAAACACUUGGAUCAAUGUGUCCAUUUGAAACUAGUUUUGAUUCUACCUUUUACAUUUACUAUAUAAAUGUAUUUAAUUGCAUUUUCCUUGUUGAUUGAAUAAAUUUACUUAAAUGUAUUUCUUUCAGUUAACACUGUCUACAGGUUUAUUUUUAAUAGGGUUGUGUGUGUAUAUUAUUAGCUUAAAUAUCAUUAUAUAUGGUGCUACUGUGUUAUGGUUUGUAUAAUGUUCCCCUAUUUUGAAGCAUUAGGUUGUUUUCAAUUUCAUUACUUUAUAAUGAAAUAUAAUAUUUCUUGGUAUAAAUUAAUUUCUUUUUUUUCCUGGAGUUAUUUCUUUGGAAUUACUGCUUUUGAACAGCUCUUAUUAAAGGCUGCUAGAUCAUUUAGGAAGAUUAAAGUUGGUUUCAUUGCUAGGCAGUGUGUACCUGUUUUUCUAGAGCUCCACCAAAAUUGAGUUUUAUAAUUUCAUUGUAUUUUAAUAGCUCUGAAGUGUAACUCUGAAGUUGUUUCAAUUUGCGUUUCUUUCUCUGUUGGUAAAUCUGUACAUUUUCCACCAGGAUGACUUAGGCCUUCACUUCCCUCUGUUGAAAUGGUCAGUGUGCAUUUUUUGAUGUUCUCCUAAUGAAAUCAAAUCCUAUCUUCUUGUGAGUGCCAUAAGAUGGAGGUACCAGGACCUCAUCUUCCUGUUUACUCUGUUUUGGAGUAUUUUGGGUACCUCACAGGAUUUACUUCUAAGAAUGUUUUUUGGGAGAGUUUUGUGUUAUUUUGUUUUUGGCCUCAUUGUGCAGCAGCUAGAUGUGGGUGAGAUCUCAGUCCCCAGACCAGGGCUUGAACUUGGGCUACAGCUGUGGAAGCUCUGAGUCCUACAGGGACCAAUUUGUUGAUUUUGGGGCUUUUUUCUAAGUAUUCUUUGAUACUCUUAGAAAUAUGAAACAAGAUGGAGUCAGACUGAGAGAUGCUUUUUCCUUAUCCGUAAUUCCCAUUUAAAGGUUAUGGCCCCUUAGCACUGCAAAAACCAAACCCAAACAGGGAUAUUUCUGUUCAUUUGGGUGAGAAAUAUAUUCUCCUGAAGAGAUAGGAAUCCAUGUAGCAGAGCAUGUGUUUUCUUGGUCCCCUUUUAAAUGCAAAAGUUAUUUAUGGAUUUGCAUUCCAUAGCGUCUCAGCAUCAUUUAGAAUUAAGCUUUGCUUACUGAACUCAAACUGCAAAGCUUCACUUAAGCAUGACUCAAUUACCCUUUAAUGU
rnacentral:lncRNA from 1 species